rnacentral:misc_RNA from 1 species
GAUGAAGAACGUAGCGAAAUGCGAUAAGUAAUGUGAAUUGCAGAAUUCCGUGAAUCAUCGAAUCUUUGAACGCACAUUGCGCCCCUUGGUAUCCAGAGGGGCAUGCCUGUUCGAGCGUCAUUUCACCACUCAAGCCUGGCUUGGUGUUGGGCGACGUCCUCUUUGGGGACGCGCCUCGAAACGCUCGGCGGCGUGGCACCGGCUUUAAGCGUAGCAGAAUCUUUCGCUUUGGAAGUCGGGGCCCCGUCUGCCGGAAGACCUGCUCGCAAGGUUGACCUCGGAUCAGGCAGGGAUACCCGCUGAACUUAAGCAUAUCAAUAAGCGGAGGA